ACCCUGGUGGCUCAGAUGGUAAAGCAUCUGCCUGCAAUUCAGGAGACCCAGGUUCGAUCCCUGGGUGGGGAA
rnacentral:tRNA from 1 species